GUUGGCACUGACUGAUGCAGAGUUGGCUUCUGUCAAAGAGGAAGUGAAGUUGGCCCAGGAAGCGCUCAGUCGGACACGACAGUAGGUCAUCGAUGAUUAUAAAGUAUCUAAGAAUUUCAAGAAUAAAAUCCUUGAGGGUGGCAGCAUAUCUUACUGGAUCGAUUACGAGGAUGGGAGAGAUGCGGUCGGAAAGCUUUAUCUUGAUUCAGAUCUGAGCAACGUAACCAUCCCAGCU
rnacentral:lncRNA from 1 species